rnacentral:rRNA from 1 species
UAACGCGUGGGAAUCUGCCCUCAGGGUUCGGAAUAACGACGGGAAACUGUCGCUAAUACCGAUGAUGCCCUUAGGGGGAAAGAUUUAUCGCUGAUAGAUGAGCCCGCGUACGAUUAGCUAGUUGGUGAGGUAAUGGCUCACCAAGGCAACGAUCGUUAGCUGGUCUGAGAGGAUGAUCAGCCACACUGGGACUGAGACACGGCCCAGACUCCUACGGGAGGCAGCAGUGGGGAAUAUUGGACAAUGGGCGAAAGCCUGAUCCAGCAAUGCCGCGUGAGUGAUGAAGGCCUUAGGGUUGU